rnacentral:lncRNA from 1 species
AGUACAAUAGUAAACAGUAUUCGCUGCAGUACAAUAAAGUACACAAUGGACUGCAGUAAAAUAGUAUACAGUGUACAGUACACAGUAUUUUCAAAAUUAUUUGUACAAUAUGGAGUUCAAUAGUACACGGUGACCACACUUGCGCAGUAUAAAUUUUGUUUGUAAACAGAAAACAGUUGAAUUUUCGUUAUGAAAGUAAAUGAAAACCGAAGACCUCCUUCAUUCUACAGAUUUCGAGUUCUCAUUGUAGUUUACAUUAUGCAGUGCUACUGCUACAGGGUGUCCCACGAAACAUGACAAUAGCAAGACGAUUUUAAAUUUGAGAAAGUCAGUCUUGCUGUAUUUAUUACAUGCCUUUUUUGUGCUGUCAAUAUGUCUGGAGAUAUUGAGAUUUCGUUUAGAUUUCAAUUUUAAUAUAUAAAACCUAAUUUGUUGAAAUCUGAACCAAAUGUCAGA